AUUUUGGCGAAGUUAAAAUAGCUUAAAGGUGACUAAAGAGAUCCCGAAGAACUAUGGGCUUUGAAGUAAAAGUGAUUUUGAGGAACCAUGCCAGCAUUUUGAGAAGUUUCAGUUUCAAAUACAUGAAAAGAAAAGGCUGAAGGGAUUCCUAGAACUGUAUUGCAGCUUGCAGUGCUGAAAUUUCAAAGACUUCAAGUAGGACCUGAGGGACCUGUAUGCUGUGGUUUUAGCCAGGAGAAAUACGUGGCACUGUCAAAAUAUUUGUGCAUGUUGUUAACUUCUGCCCUUCCUAAGAAUGCUUGUUGUAUAAAAUUAAGUCAAAUGUCCUCACCAAGGGAUUUGCCACCAUUUGUAAAUCGUGAGCUGAAUAUUUACCAGAAGAAGGCACUACUGAAUGUAGGGGAGGACUUACCAGCAGACACAUGGCACUGUGCUUGUGACACGGCCCUUCGGUGAGUCACGUGUGGAAUGCAGGUCUUUCCUGUGCAGAGGAGGUUUGGACCACUUUGGCCCCACAUGAAUAUUGUAUGAGCCUUGCACAGAGGAGAAGAUUGUCCUUCAGCACACAGCCUGCAUCUUCUGAAAUCAUGGUGCUGCUAAGUGAAGAAGAGAGACGAUGCAUGCUCCGCGAUCUGCAUGCAAGCUAUUUAUUCCUACAUUCUGGAAUUUUGGUUAUUUUCGUGAGCAAAUUAGCAUUUCCAUAACUCUAUAUCUGUUUUGAACAACCUCAGUAAACAACUUCAGAUUCCUCCUGUGUUGCUGUAGAGCAUUGUUCUUCUUCAGCAUGUUCCUCUCCAUAUAAAGUGACCUUAAUCUGUCUGAAUGCCAGGGGAGCAAUCACCAUCUGUUGAACACUUGUCAAAUGAACUAGUGACCUGCACUGAUGUAAUACCCUGCAACACCUGUGAACCGCUCAGCCAUAGCCACCCGGCCACUGAGUGACACGGAGCAAGAAGCAUCCACAACAGCUUGAAAGAAACUGGGUCGCUUUUUUGUAUACUUAAAAAAAAAAAAAAAAAGAAGCAAAAUUCCUUCUGAUAGCUGUGAAGGUGGAAGUAAUUUCAAGCCUUUAUUAAGCAGACUCUGAACUGUUAAUUCACAGAAAUGAAUACUGAAAUACUAGUCUGUUACCCAUUCAGUACUUUUACCACAUGAAAGAGGGCACCUGGGCUCAGAGGACUGAUGCACUGCUCGGUUUUCUCGAGUUGGAUAUUCUGGUAUUUCUGAUGCGUCUUGAAUAUGUAGAAGCAGGAAAACUUGUCUCAGUGAAUAAAAGCAACAGCAUUGAAAGGAGACAGAUGGUGUAUGUUACUGAAAAUGAACUACAGUUUGUUGUUCCCAAAGAGAGAGGUCCCUGCAAGGUAGAAGUGGUUUUAAAUGAGCCGUUGACAUAGAAAGUUGGAAAGCUCACGCCUCAGGUAAGUGAUCGUUCUAAUGGGAGCCUAACUCUGCAGUGACACCAAGAUUUUUUAGACCUGGUCCUUCUCCCGAAUGUGCAGUUACAGAUUGAAGCACUGCAGAAGCUGGAAGUCAGUACUGGGAAAUCYUUAGUCAGGAAGGCUCAGCUUCUGUGAAUUCAAGCGAAGAUGCUGCAGAGAUCUGCUUACACUCUUGCUUUGAACACUGGCAGUAGCUUUUGCACUGGUAUUUGCUAAUGCCUUUUUUGUUUUUAUUUCUCAUUUUAAAGUUGUCCCUUACAAAAAGGAGUUAUUUCAACUUUAUAAGAGGACUGUAAAUUAGUCUUGAGCUUGCUGUGCUCUGCACUGCGCAAUACUGAGGCCUUCCUUUUGUCUCUGAAACCACUUCACUUAAAUGGAGAUAAAUUUUGGGAAGGGACUGAAAGACUUGCUCUUCUGAAGUGCUGUUCAUUUACAGAAAGCUUUUUAGUAAGCUAACUCAUUGCUUCCAAAGUAAUUACCA